GGCUGCCAUAAUUGAUUAGCAUCUGAGAAGGGAUAAAAUAGAGGCAGCGCGUCGCUAACAAUUUGUUAACUCACCAGAUACUUUCAUUAUUGGUUUUGGCUUUUGCAAAACGCCCUCUUCUUUCUUUCUUCCUCCCAUUCUCAAGUGUACUACACUUCUCUCUCAGCAUCUCUGUUGCUUGUCACAUUUAUCCGCAGAAAUGGAAGAUACUUCCGUUUUGAACUCCAAUCAGAUGCCGACGAUCGUGGUCACCAACGACGAUGGUAUUGACGCACCAGGACUCCGUUCUCUGGUUCGCGUCCUUGUCUCCACUCACCGCUUCCACGUCCUGGUUUGUGCGCCUGAUUCGGAAAAAUCCGCCGUCAGUCAUUCUAUUACUUGGCGCCAUCCUAUAUCUGCUAGGCGAGUAGAUAUUGAAGGAGCAACAGCCUUUGCAGUUUCUGGCACUCCGGCUGAUUGUGCUUCUUUAGGAGUCUCCAAAGCACUCUUUCCGUCAAUUCCUGAUCUGGUAAUCAGUGGUAUAAACAUGGGGAGCAACUGUGGCUAUCAUAUUGUUUACUCUGGUACUGUUGCUGGUGCUCGGGAGGCCUUCUUCAAUGAUAUACCUUCUAUCUCCAUUUCGUAUGAGUGGGUUGGAGGUAAAAGCACUAUCCAGGACUUCACACUUGCAGCUGAAGCUUGCAUACCGAUCAUAAGUGCUGUGCUUGUUGAGAUUAAGAAUCAAACUUAUCCUUCACGCUGUUUUCUGAAUAUAGAUUUGCCAACAAGUGUUGCUAAACAUAAGGGUUAUAAGCUGACUAAGCAGGGUAAGAGCAUAUUCAGGAUGGGGUGGAAGCAAGUUACUUCUGGAACUGAAGGAGGGAAAAUGUUAUCAACAAUGACAAUGGACACAAAUGCAGCUGUGCAAACAGAAACUGGUGCAUCAAAUGUAGCCCAAGAACAAAUGUGGUUUAGAAGAGAAGUAAAGGGAGCGCAAGUUGAUGAUACUGAUACCGAUCACAAAUUUCUUCAGGAAGGAUAUAUUACUGUAACUCCCCUUGGUGCCCUCUCUCAAGUAGAGACUAGCUGCCUAGAGUACUUUAAUGAUUGGUUGCCACGCACGGUUGACCUCUCAUCUCCAUCAGCCUUAUAAUGCUGGGACCCCUCACGUGGUAAAACACCAUGGCAUAACCUUGUUCGUUUCAUUUAUUAAGGCUUGACUAUACGACAUAAUAAAAGACGAUAACUGUUGGUUCGGGGCUAAUUGAAAGGCUUUUCAAGGCUGAAACACUGCUGAAGAAUUUCUAUGGAUUCCUAUGGAAAGGGGAGAGUUUGUCAUCAGUUACCGUCUCCUGCUUGCCAGGUUUUAUAUAAUUGCACUCAUUUUCCAAUUAGGAAUGUCAUAAAUUCCUAUCCAGAAAAAGUGUCAUAAAAGCUUUAUGGAACUCAUGAUUUCUGAUUUAUUGAGAAGCUUUUCACCAAUUUGAUAAUAACUCUUGCAUUUGCUUUCAAGUUAUUGCAAGUUCCAAUAGAACUCGAUAUGUACGGUGGCCAAUAUAGUCAUUAGUGUUGCUAAUAUUUACCAGCUUUUAUAUCACCGAACCUAUUAAUGAAGUCUUUUAGAAUAGUUCACAAAUAUAAUUGGUUUGGGGGUCAAAUGUCACUAAAAGUUUUUAAUUAAUAAAUAAAUGGCUUUAUUCUUUUGAAAAAGAAAAAAGAAAAUUAUGAUCAUAACUGACUCGAGUUAUACAAAACUAUUAUAAAUACCACAAGAUUCUAAACUUUUUAUUAUUGGAAGCCUUGAGAAACUGAUAGUGGCAUGAAGAGCAACCUCGUCAACAGAUUAAUGUUCUCCUGCUGACUUCUUAUUUUUUUAUUGCAUUAGAAAACCCGUCGGACAACAGAGCUGCAACAGAGCUACAAGCAACAAACUUGAACAUAAUAAAAGCCUAACAAAGCAUAGGAACCCACAAAGUCCACAACCCAACAUUCAGAUUGGACACGUUGCAAACAUGCAGGUACUCACUGCCACAGAUGCCAGACUCACUGUGCUGUCGCUUGCCUUGAGAAUCAUGCACAAAGUCAAAACCGCCCAACCAAGCUUGCAUUAAUAGAAGAAGAAAACAAGCAGAGCAAACACGCUGGGAAAACAAAUAGAAACAGGCACAGCCGCAAAAACUGUUCAAACAAUCAUUCAAAAUUGACACUACAACAUAACAACACUUCAAUAUCGCUCAUUGACCCAGCAUCCAUACAAACCAUAGGCUUCCCACUCUGAUCCGGGCAAUCCAGAAUUGUCCAUGGCAUGAAAUGAAGAAGAGUGUUGGCUCAUGACAGUUGCAGUCUAUAAUAGUCAUGGAUCAGUUUUAAGGAGACAUCAUGCUCUAGCGCCGAAAUAUUUACUGGACUCCAGCACCUCCAUCAACACCAGCGGCAUCCAGAAAAAAGAAAAAAAAAGAAA